rnacentral:lncRNA from 1 species
CGAAACAUCAAAGGGCAUGCUACAAAUCACCAUGACUCAAAACAAUCCAACAAACUCACUUUGCUUCCAGAUAUUCUCUAGGGAGUUCUUCAGUUUCAUCCAGAGUUGCUACUGAUGUCUGGAUCUCCUGUUCUACCAGACUGUCCACCAUCACCCGGAAGUAGGCCCAAACUGUGUCUUCCCAGGUGUCACAGACAGGAAGCAGCUUUUUCCCCAUUCUGCUUAAGAUUCCCACUUAAAGCUGCAUAAAUUGC